rnacentral:lncRNA from 13 species
CCUCUUUCCUCUAUCUUCUGCUCGCUUGCGUACUCGUUCACACGCAUGUAACAUUCACAGAUGACAGCAGCACUUACGCAAAAUCACCUGGGAAUACAUGGCGUUGUGGUGGCUCUCUCCUUCACAGUCUGUCAAUGACUACAAAUGAGACCCUGGAUAAACACAUAUCUGUAUCAUGAUCCAGCUACGACUAUACUGGACAGACAGACAGUGAGGCAGACAGACAGACAGUGAGGCAGACAGACAAACAGUGAGGAAGACAGACAGACAGACUAUAUGGUAUCUCUAUAAGAUGGAAAUAAUGACUUACACGGGCAAACAGUGUUAUGGAUAAUAGUACUGGUGUCUUUGGAAUAAGCACAAAGUCAAUGAAAGUGCAUUUUUAUCUUAGACAUUUCUUUUUUGUUUUCCAUAAUAGGCUUGAAUAAAUGGAAUUCAUGGUAAUGUUUUCCUCAUGGGCAGUGACUAAAUGUUUAUACCACUGAGGAAAAUGACUUUCUUUUGUUUUCAUUAUGCUCAUCAACAACAGACUUCCAUCCAGUUGGAAUAUGCAUUAUGGAGGGGAACCAAGAAGACGUCAUGUCGCAAGGCAUCACGGGAAGAGGAUUUUGGCUGGCGGAGGGAGCGCAGGAAUGGCGUCGGACAGACAGUGUGACCCAGGGCUCAGGUGGCAGCUGUGCUACGACUUCUCUGCCAGGUCAUGGUGGAUGGCCACCGAAACCUUUCUGGUGAAUGAAGACCCCUCCAGAGGUCCUGGGAUGCCUGAAUGCUUUGUAGUAUCAGAUUCCUACAGGGUAUGCAUUAUUAUUGUUAUUAUUAUGAUUAUUUAA